CCAAUAGUGUAUAUAUAAAGUWGUUGCAGUUAAAAAAGCUCGUAGUUGGAUUUCGGGAGGCAGCGUGGGGUGGCGCCGCUCGCCGGCGCCAGCGCCGCGCUCCUCCUUGUCUGCCUCGGCGUGCGGNUGGGCUUCGCUGCUCGGCCGCGCUCGCCGCGGCGAGGUUACCUUGAACAAAUUAUGGUGUUCAAAGCAGGCGUGGGCUGUGAGUACAUUAGCAUGGAAUAACGGCACAGGACUCCGGUGGUCCCGUUCUCGUUGGUCUCCGCACCGGAGUAAUGGUUAACAGGGACGGUCGGGGGCAUUCGUACUCCGGCGUUAGAGGUGAAAUUCUUGGAUCGCCGGAAGACGAACUUCUGCGAAAGCGUUUGCCAAGGACGUUUUCAUUAAUCAAGAACGAAAGUUGGGGGCGCGAAGACGAUUAGAUACCGUCCUAGUCCCAACCGUAAACGAUGCCGACCCCGAAUUGGCGCGCGUAUCACUUGACGCCGCCAGCGCCCGAGGAGAAAUCAGAGUUUUUGGGCUCCGGGGGGAGUAUGGUCGCAAGUCUGAAACUUAAAGGAAUUGACGGAAGGGCACCACCAGGUGUGGAGCGUGCGGCUUAAUUUGACUCAACGCGGGGAAUCUUACCAGGUCCGGACAUAGACACGAUUGACAGACUGAUAGCUCUUUCUUGAUCCUAUGGGUAGUG
rnacentral:rRNA from 1 species